GCCAUUAUUGCUGAGGUAGAGAAGUAGGAAGGCAGACAAAAGAAAUUACCAAAUGUCAGGAUGAAUUUGCUAGUUGGCAGUGAUGUUGCUUAAAAAUGAAGUAGGUGAAUGCACAUUUACAAGUUCUCAGCUGCCAGCUGCCAAGAAUGAAAGUCGCACAUCUGGCUAAUAAAAUAGAUUUGCUCCUGAUUGCCUGGUUUCUAACAGUGUUAGCUGGAGAGGUAAAAAUUCGGGAAAAUGCUCUUAGCCCUAAGGAGGCUGUUCUGUAACACAAUCCAACAUGAAUCUUCUCAUAUCUUUAUAAUAUCUGCAUGAAAUUCUCUGAAAAUUUCAGCACUUCCUUAAAAUUGUUUUUUUCUGAAAGGAUCAGUGUUUGUUUAUUGGUCUUAGUUUUCCUUGUGCUUUCAUCCUUCUUUCUGCAGCCCCAGGGAGAUAUUUGGUAUGCUGGCUUGCUCUGAUCAAUGAGGAAUGAGCUCCUACACAAGGUUCCUUUCUUCUCUGCCCAUCCAUCAGCUGACCUGCAACACCUGGCACAGAAGAAGGCAAUAGAAAGUUGAUAUAUUGCAAUUCCUGCAUCCUCCAGAUAAAGUAGUACUUCCAGCAUGAGAUGAGAGUAAUGGGAACACGGAAAGGCCAGCUGUUACAAUCAAGACAUGAUACAAAAAGAUGCUGCAGAUUUCUCCAUUCAUUUACAUCGGAAGACAAGACCUAUUGCCCAAGCAUGGCAGCUGCAAAGGGGUACUCUUAUACACAAGCUGUGGAUGCUCAGUUUUUGGCCGUAUAUCUACUUGGAAAUGUCCCAUACUGCUUGAUAAGACCCAGAUGGCAACCAGAUGGCUUCAUGUAACUCUUUGGAAGUGCUGCUGAAGACUGGGAGUAAGAAAUUGAAGAGUAAGGACCUGCCUCAUGGUGCCUAGCUUCAAUUUUCAAAGUUGACUAUUGACUUAGAAACAAACACAACCUGAUUCUCACAAAGUUUUGAGCUACUUGGCCCCCCAUCAGGCUACCUUUAGAGCAUUCAUAGACUGCUGGCUGAGGUGGCGGAGGUGCUGCUCAAACAGUAAGUUGAAAUGGCUGAUCUUGUAGUAAUAAGGAUUCAAUUAUGAUAGUAUGACAAUGGGCCAGUCAUUAGUAUCUGUCUAAAAGGAUAAAGUUUUGCAGAUCUUGUUUAUCGAAGCUGUAUCUGAUGAUAUAUCAC
rnacentral:lncRNA from 1 species